rnacentral:rRNA from 1 species
GAGGGGGCAAGCGUUGUUCGGAAUUACUGGGCGUAAAGGGCGCGUAGGCGGCCUGCUAAGUCGAACGUGAAAUCCCUGGGCUCAACCCAGGAACUGCGUCCGAUACUGGUUGGCUUGAAUUCGGGAGAGGGAUGUGGAAUUCCAGGUGUAGCGGUGAAAUGCGUAGAUAUCUGGAGGAACACCGGUGGCGAAGGCGGCAUCCUGGACCGAUAUUGACGCUGAUGCGCGAAAGCCAGGGGAGCAAACGGGAUUAGAUACCCCGGUAGUCCUGGCCCUAAACGAUGAAUGCUUGGUGUGGCGGGUAUCGAUCCCUGCCGUGCCGAAGCUAACGCAUUAAGCAUUCCGCCUGGGGAGUACGGUCGCAAGGCUG